rnacentral:rRNA from 1 species
CCUACGGGCGGCAGUCGAGAAUCAUUCUCAAUGGGGGACACCCUGCUGGUGCGACGCCGCGUGGGGGAAUGAAGGUCUUCGGAUUGUAAACCCCUGUCAUGUGGGAGCAAAUUAAAAAGAUAGUACCACAAGAGGAAGAGUCGGCUAACUCUGUGCAAGCAGCCGCGGUAAUACAGAGGUCUCAAGCGUUGUUCGGAAUCACUGGGCGUAAGGCGUGCGUAGGCUGUUUCGUAAGUCGUGUGUGAAAGUCGCGGGCUCAAACGGCGGACGGAAGAUGAGACUGGGAGACUAGAGUAAUUGAGGGGGAACCGGAAUUCGCGGUGUAGCAGUGAAAUGCUUAGAUAUCGAGAGGAACACUCGUGGCGAAGGCGGGUUCCUGGACAUUAACUGACGCUGAGGCACGAAGGCCAGGGGAGCGAAAGGGAUUAGAUACCCUUGUAGUC